UGCCAGACUCCUACGGGAGGCAGCAGUGGGGAAUAUUGCACAAUGGGGGGAACCCUGAUGCAGCGACGCCGCGUGGGUGAAGGAGCACCUCGGUGCGUAAAGCCCUAUCGGCAGGGAAGAAAAGCGAACAGGUUCGCCUGGACGGUACCUGACUAAGAAGCCCCGGCUAACUACGGGCCAGCAGCCGCGGGAAUACGUAGGGGGCAAGCGUUGUUCGGAAUGACUGGGCGUAAAGGGUGUGUAGGCGGUGUAGCAAGUUAGAAGUGAAAUACCUAGAGCUUAACUCAGGUGCUGCUUCUAAAACUGCUAUACUUGAGUGCAGUAGAGGAAAGUGGAAUUCCUAGUGUAGCGGUGGAAUGCGUAGAUAUUAGGAGGAACAUCAGUGGCGAAGGCGACUUUCUGGACUGUAACUGACGCUGAGGCACGAAAGUGUGGGGAGCAAACAGGAUUAGAUACCCCCGUACA
rnacentral:rRNA from 1 species